GCUUUCGAAGAACUGAUCAUACUUUAUUCCGAGGAUUCUGCUCAAAGUAAUGAGAAGGAGAGUUCUGAGAUGCAGAUGCUGCCGCCGCAGUUGAAAAUUUACGAGAAAAUACCCAUCCCAGAUCUGCCAGUGGUUUUCCCUCACAAAAAGUUGUCAUUCCGCAUCCUUGAUACAGUAAGGCUUGAUAUAGCCACCGUUAUAGGAUUGUUGGCAUAUGUUGUCAACUACAAAUUUGAGAGUUUAGCCUCAC